CUAAUAUGUCAUGAGGCAAGUGGUUCAGGCUCUCAGGGAAGCUCAACUAUCCAUGAUCAUUCACACUGGGGCUGGAGGAAUUCCUCUUUGCAUGAGGGAGCAAGAAUUAUCAGUAUGUUGGCCAUUCAAUCUAUAAGAAGAAAAGAGAGUGAGAGUCUAGGGCAAGCAAUUUCCUUUCAAAACAAGAGAUCAAGAAAGUUAAAGAACUCCCCCUCACUUUCUAUGUAUUAGAUUGGAGACAAAUGGCCAUAAAAAGCUAUGUACAAAAGAGACAAAGAAUAGUCCUCAGCUGCGUGACCAUAUCCUCAGACAAUUCAUUAUCAUCACACAUGAAGGGAAUAACACAUUUUGGGUGGACAUUAGGAAUGUGCUAUAAAAAAAAAAGGAAUGUGCUAUAUAAAAUUAAAAGAUUUGAGUAAUAUAAUAUUGAUUUUCUUUCUUAUAUAAGCAUUUGAAAAGCAAUUAUAAUUCUUUCUGUCUACAGGUUCAGUUGGACAUUUUAUUCAUUUCUAAUCCUCUAGACUUCCUUCAUGACAUCAAGGAUAUUGUAAUAAUUUUCUAACCUACAUGACUCCUUAGGGCUGGGUUACAAUGAUUACAUUCCAAGUACUUCUAGAAACACAGGGGCGCUCAGGGAGGAAACAGAAGGAACUGACAUCAAACCUGCCAUUUAAGGGAUCAUCUGCAGAGAAAAGAUCACUGGCCACCAGGAAUGAAUUUGAGGAAGCUUGUUAUAGAGGCGGCAUUCUAAAGAUAAGUGUCACCUUUGUCAGAGCAUAUAUUCCUUGAUUAGUGCUCUUGUAUUUCAUUCACAAUGUCAAAAAUUAAAAAUUUAGAAGAUUGGCUGGGAAGUGGAGUUUCACAGACAUGGUUUUGCACUGCUGCAUCUUUCACCGGAUUGUGGGGGAGAAGAAAAUCCAGGCCAUUGAGCUAAAUUGUUGAGGAUAUUAAUGGAUAACCCUCAUGGUUUCAGAGAAAAAGGAGCCGGAGAAUGUGAAGGGAAUGCUUCAAACUCUGCUGGCUUCUGGAAAGAGGGAUUUUCUCUAAACAUCUCUGGAAUUUUGCCUGAACUAUUUUUUCUCUUUUCUGUAGAGAUGGAAUGAAUUACCCUAAUGGUCAAUGUGAGGAAAGACCCAUGCCAGUUUAUUUCUUCUUUCUUUCUUUUUUUCUUUCUUUUUUUUUUUUUUUCAGACAUGGCUGCCCUCAGGAAGCUUUUAUACAUUCAACUGAUAUUGACUUAAUACUUACAAUAUGCCAAAUUCUAUACUUCAUAUUGGGUUUACCACAGUGAGUAAAUCUGACAAAAAUCCUACUCUGCGUAGAACUUAUUCUCUAGUAGAGUUAGCAAGACAGGAAUGAAGUAAAUAAAUAAAGUAUGAACUACUUGAAAUGGCCA
rnacentral:lncRNA from 1 species